rnacentral:rRNA from 1 species
UACGUAGGGUGCAAGCGUUGUCCGGAAUUAUUGGGCGUAAAGAGUUCGUAGGCGGCUUGUCGCGUCCGUUGUGAAAGCUUGGGGCUCAACCCCAAGUCUGCAGUGGAUACGGGCAGGCUAGAGUCAGGUAGGGGAGAACGGAAUUCCUGGUGUAGCGGUGAAAUGACGCAGAUAUCAGGAGGAACACCCGGUGGCGAAGGCGGUCUCCUGGG